AGCCUGGUUAAGAUUCUUAGACCAUAGGAUGUUCUGCAAGUGUCCUCCUUUGCCCAGAACCUUUGUAGUUUGGUCUGGGCUGGAAUCCCCAGCCGCACUUUGUUUUUUCAGCUGUGUGUGUAAUUUUAAACAGGUUCCUGAGGGAU
rfam:Triticum aestivum genome assembly, contig: Triticum_aestivum_CS42_TGACv1_scaffold_557947_7AL